UAAAGGUAUUAUUUUAAAUGUUGUAGAAAGGAUUCCAUUAAUUAGAAUGUUAAUUCUCAAUAGAUCAUCGGGCCAUUUUUUCUGAGUCGCAUCAUUGUUAGCAAUGCGGGUCAAAUUGGUACGUGGUACUGGAAGAGCUGAUGCUGGUCAAAAAGGUUUUCCCGUUUUUGAAAUUUAAACAAACGUUGCCUUUAACUAUGUGCCGAAGGAUUUUCGAGAACAUCGAGUCGAAACACACACAGACACACACCAAAACCAGACUAUCUUGUUACCUGAUUUUCCGAUACUCAGGCAUUGUGUGAAAUACCUUAUUUUGAUCAAAACCGAUAGUUCAAUAAAUAAAAGUAAAACUUUAUGUGUUACUCGUUUUAUUGAAAAAUAAUGUUAUUUAAAAA
rnacentral:lncRNA from 1 species